GGCUCAGAUUGAACGCUGGCGGCAUGCUUUACACAUGCAAGUCGAACGGCAGCACGGGUGCUUGCACCUGGUGGCGAGUGGCGGACGGGUGAGUAAUACAUCGGAACGUAUCCAGAAGAGGGGGAUAACGCAUCGAAAGAUGUGCUAAUACCGCAUAUUCUCUGAGGAGGAAAGCAGGGGAUCGAAAGACCUUGCGCUUUGGGAGCGGCCGAUGUCUGAUUAGCUAGUUGGUGGGGUAAAGGCCUACCAAGGCGACGAUCUGUAGCUGGUCUGAGAGGACGACCAGCCACACUGGGACUGAGACACGGCCCAGACUCCUACGGGAGGCAGCAGUGGGGAAUUUUGGACAAUGGGCGCAAGCCUGAUCCAGCAAUGCCGCGUGCAGGAAGAAGGCCUUCGGGUUGUAAACUGCUUUUGUACGGAACGAAAAAGUCCGGGUUAAUACCCUGGGCCCAUGACGGUACCGUAAGAAUAAGCACCGGCUAACUACGUG
rnacentral:rRNA from 1 species